rnacentral:lncRNA from 1 species
AAAGGCUACCAAGCUGGUGAGAAGGAGAAAGAGCUAUACAUCACCUGAUUAGAACAGGUGCUUGUCUUUCAGAUGGGGCUCCUGUGCUUUUCAGCCUCCUUGCCCUUGGCCUGCUCACACAUCCCUGGCUGACCAGCCACUUCACAAGAUGAGAGGAAGACGGAGGU